GUGAACUGAAACAUCUAAGUAGCUGCAGGAAGAGAAAGCAAACGCGAUUGCCUUAGUAGCGGCGAGCGAACGGGAAGAGCCCAAACCAACAAGCUUGCUUGUUGGGGUUCGGACUGCAUAAGUGAUUCAUUGAGGAUAAUGGAAUGGUUUUGGGAAAGCCAGCCAGAGAGGGUGAAAGCCCCGUACAUGAAAUCCAAGACGACAUGGCAGGAUCCUGAGUACGACGAGACACGUGAAAUCUCGUUGGAAUCUGGGAGGACCAUCUCCUAAGGCUAAAUACUCUCUAGUGACCGAUAGUGAACUAGUACCGUGAGGGAAAGGUGAAAAGGACCCCGGGAGGGGAGUGAAAUAGAACCUGAAACCCUGUGUUUACAAGCUGUGGAACCUCUUUAUAUGAGGGACCGCGUACUUUUUGUAGAACGGUCCGGCGAGUUGUGCAUACUGGCAAGGUUAAGC
rnacentral:ncRNA from 1 species